AAUAGAUACCCCGGUAGUCCACGCCGUAAACGAUGAGUGCUAAGUGUUAGAGGGUUUCCGCCCUUUAGUGCUGCAGCUAACGCAUUAAGCACUCCGCCUGGGGAGUACGGUCGCAAGACUGAAACUCAAAGGAAUUGACGGGGGCCCGCACAAGCGGUGGAGCAUGUGGUUUAAUUUCGAAGCAACGCGAAGAACCUUACCAGGUCUUGACAUCCUCUGACAACUCUAGAGAUAGAGCGUUCCCCUUCGGGGGACAGAGUGACAGGUGGUGCAUGGUUGUCGUCAGCUCGUGUCGUGAGAUGUUGGGUUAAGUCCCGCAACGAGCGCAACCCUUGAUCUUAGUUGCCAGCAUUUAGUUGGGCACUCUAAGGUGACUGCCGAUGACAAACCGGAGGAAGGUGGGGAUGACGUCAAAUCAUCAUGCCCCUUAUGACCUGGGCUACACACGUGCUACAAUGGAUGGUACAAAGGGCUGCAAGACCGCGAGGUCAAGCCAAUCCCAUAAAACCCAUUCUCAGUUCGGAUUGUAGG
rnacentral:rRNA from 1 species